UCCCUGGUGGUCCAGUGGUUAAGACUCUGCUUCCAACACAGGGUAUAUGGGUUUGAUCCCUACUCAGGGAA
rnacentral:tRNA from 1 species